UGCCAGCGGACAGUCCUGGCUGAGGGCCUGCCUCCAGUCCGAGCACAACUCUCGGGGCUGACACCCGUCCCGAGUCGACCGGUCUCAGUUCGGAGCCGCCGGCAUGAGAGAGGCUGAACAGACAGACGGACACAGAGCGUCCGGUGCCCAGCCUCAGGGAGAAGGGGCAGAAAGUGAAAGGGGACGCGGAGAAGUGACAGCAAGAGAAGCGGGCGGUGAGGCUCUCCGCUCUCAGCCCACCUCGGGGCUCUUCAGAUAGCCAUAGGCACAAGAAUACAGGACACACACAGAGCCCCCUCGCAGACAGGCACCAAAUACGUCUCUCCCUCCUGCGAGGUAACUGGGAGAUAAGGCUCCGGCAGAUAAGGGCUCCAGGCACCGGCAUCGGAUAUCCCUCGGGCUCCCCAGCAAGGCGCAGCCGACGCUGCGCCGCGCUGCCCUCAGAGCGGCCGAGGGCGGAGAGGCAGGAGCAGAAGAGCGAGGAAGAACAAGGGAAAUCGCGGCGAGGCAAGAAAAGAGAAGGGGGCCAAACCUGGUGCCGAUGCCCCGCAUGAGGCCGGGGCGCGAGGCCGCGGCGGGCGGUAAAUCCAGUGCGGCGGGCGUGAGCGGCGGCGGCGAGUCCGGUGGCGGCGGCCGCCGGUUCAUGUAUAAAAAGGAGAGAGGAGGCGCCUCUCGCAGCCCUGCCGGAAAACUGCAGGCAGCCGGCCCUGAUUGGGCUCGGCCAGCCCUAAACAAACACGGGACUCCGCAGGGGUGCCAGUCCCGGCGGCCAGCCGGCCCGCCGCGCCGCAGUCCCGGGGGUGGGGUGCCCGCAGCUACAGGGCUACGGACCCCUCCUUGGGGAGCGGGAAGGAGCAGAGAGGGGACUGCCCUCUCAGAUGCCACAGUCUUUUAUCUUCCUGUCAUGGUUUCAAACCAUGACAGUUCCUUUUUUUUUUUUUUUUUUUACCCAGAAAUAAUACACACUCUUCCCUCCUCCCCGGAUAAUAUCUUCUUUAUGGUGAAUAUUCAGCGUUUUGGGUUUUUUUUCUUCACACCUCCCGGCAUCGCAGCGAGCAUCCCCUGGCAGCGGCCCGGAAGGAUGUGUGCUUGGCUCUCGCCCUAAGCAACCAGGUUUCCCUCCUCCAAAUCUCCCUAUUUUUGCUCCUUAAAAUAAGAGCUAUCCGAGGGUAAAAAAUGUGGCUCCUCCUUGAGUUGCCCCAACCGUCAGGUGAAACCAAAGCAAGCUGUGGGAUGUGUCCAUCCCAGCAGCUGGCGGUAGGCAUUUUCCCUCCGUUUCUUUCUUAUCCCCCCCCCCCCAGCCCUCUUAUCUCAGCUGUGUACAAACUGAUAUGGUACUUAGCAGGAAAGUGACUGGAAAUUAAAAUAACUUCGUUCACCAGAGGUUAUCAGUUGGAUAUCUGUCAUCAUCAGUUUGUACAGAGAGUCAUCGGCGGCUAAAGGCUGAACUAGAGCAGAGCCCGGCUCUCGGCAGCCGGCAGGCAUGAGCCCUCCCGACAGAAACCGAGCCCAAACCUGCUGAUGCGCGGUGCUGCCGUUCCUGGGAUACGAUAAGAAAACCCGGCUUAAACUGGGACCAGCGUGGGAAACCGUUUUCAGUCACCCCUUUCCUCUCCGUUUCGGGUUUGCUCUUGAACCGCUCAAAUAUAGUCUUCGGUUCCUAACUUUUCAUUACGUCACUCCUUUCCCAAAUCCCACUCUUCUGACGUAACUUUCGCCCCGGAGCUCCGGGAGGCUCUCAGAUACUAAAAAUGUCUGAGGCUACUCAUUCAGCUGGAAUUUGUCCCACGAUGACUUAAGCAUGAAGAGCCAGUGCCACAGACCUCCAUGGAAAUUUCUCUUUAGGCAAUAAACCUUGCUAAUGGAUCCGUUCUGAAGUUCACAACAAGAAUUGCCACUUGGCCCUUCAAGUCAUGGUUUUGACUUAACUAAGCUGGCUUUAAGCAGACUCUGUUAAAAACUCCAGAUGCAUAUUUGGUCAGCUAAUGCCAAGUUUUCUGCUGUCACAGCUCGGAAGCUGUUGGUCCCAAACAAACCCAAUCAGCCCUAAUUCAGCAGCUACCAUAGUUCCUGUAAUGAACUUAAUAGUAAAGGUAAUGUAGAUGCUCUCUGUGAUUUAUGUCAGGCUCUGUCAGGUUUAACAGCACCUCUUUAUGAUGCAGAUGUCGUGCUGCUGCAUGGACACUAAAGAUGGCAGAUCCAGCUCUGUGGCCAGUACACCCUUAUAAACUUACAUUGUGUUUACUUCCGGGGGCCAGUGACCCCAGCAGAAAGGACAACAGUGAGCACUGACAUCAGUGGCAUCUCUUGGUGCCACAGAUAAAUCCAACAGAGCUGGGACUGUCAGAGCCUGGGAGUGCUGGGAGAUGAAAACUUUUCCUUAGCUACUUUCGGCUUUCCUCCAAGCACCCCAUAUGUGACACCCUAUGCAGUACCACUCCCCACAGAUCUCCAGCUGGGCUGUAGUGACAACACCUUUAUGUAGCACUACUUAAAUCAAAGUGUUUCAUCUUCUAUACUAAGUCAAACUAUUUGCCUCCAAAAAAGCCCGUAUCAAUCAAAAUGUUUCAUUUUGUCCAAAAUAAAGUUUUUGUGCUGUUUUUUUAAUUAUUUCACCCUUUAAAGAAAAUGAACUUGGAAUCAAAUUAGCAACAAGGUUCAUCUUGAGAAGGCAGACAAAGUGGUUUGCAUUUUCCUCUCUCUUUCAUUUUGGUAACAGGCUUACACCUGGGUAGGUAGGAAAGGUCUGUCAUGCCUGAAACAGAAGCCAAGAACCUCAGCUCCUGAUCCCUGCUUAGCCACCAGAAACUACAGCAAAACUUUUGUUUUCUGCUUGGACAGCAGGACACAGGGAAAGCAACAACCCCUGAACUGGCUGAAACUGCUAUCUGUACUCUGGGUUGAAAGUUUAAAACUUUUUUUUUCUGGAAAAGGUAGAGUCUAACAUGAAUAAGUUCCAAGAUAUUUCACUCAUGGAACUGGAGAGGAGUAUAAUUCAGCCUAAAAUGAGAAUUAAUGCUAUACUCUUAUUUUAGUUCUUACUACCUAUGAGAACAGUUCCUACUCAUCUCACAAACUCUAUCUGUGAUCUGUGCUGUUUUCAAAUGAAUUUGGUUUUGCUUUUGAUAACUUCAACAGAAUUGUUGAAUGACGUUUCCUUUAGAAGGAGUUUUCCAAAGAAAUUAAUCUAAUUUCUGCUUGCAAGAAAUGGAGAAAACAUGUUUUUCUUGUGCCUGCUUGGAACUACAUGUACCUCUGAGGUCCAGAAGGUGACAUAUCUUUCACAAGUGUUUCCUUUAAUAAGUGUAGAUAGGACAAAGUAAUGAUUGUGACCUGUAGCUACUGGAAGGGUAAAAAUAUUCUAUACUGAAAUAUGCUAACCGUAGCUCAGCAUUUGGACUUGUGGAGCAUGGAGCUGACUAGGUUGAGCCCAUGGAGAGAACUGGAAAGCAAACAAUUAAAGCUCAACUGGAAAAGGAAGCCCUAUGAAUUAACCAGGAUUGGACCAAGUCAGCAGGACAAACCCUACAAGAGCUUGGCUGAAUGCUAAUGUGAGUAUUUUUGGGUGAAUUCUUCACGUCGUCUGGGCCUUUUGGAUCUAGCCAGCAUUAUUACAGUGAAAGUAGGAUAUGUUAAACAUUUUGUUAUGAUUGAGGGUAGAAUUGGAGAAAUAUAUUAAGUGGAUGGGAAGGGGGGAGAGUGAUGGGGACAGUCCUAUCCAGGGCUCUGUGACUGUAGCUAAGUGAGCUGAAAAAACACAAGUUUGGAUUCAGCAAGAGCUGCAGUAACAAGGGGGAGUGCCAUUGCCCAGGUUCAAUACAAGGAGAGAAGGACCCACCAUUGUGCUUGCUGCUUGGAAGAUGGGGUGUACAACUCAGUCCUUGCAUCCCUGGACGGCAGCAGGGCCCAGGUGAAAACGCGGCCCCCAAAUGUGCUCUUCCUCAGCACAAGGAAGAAGUGCUGUCUUGGGUCCAUACCCCCAAAGCAGGCACAAAGCUAUGGCCAGCAAACCCAUGGGGUUUCAGUGGCUCUGGUUGGCUCACAGGCUACCUUGGACCAACCCAACUCUUUGCAUAAAAGCAGAAUCCAGUACACCUAGAAUUACACUUUACUAAGAGGAAUAACAAUGCAUAUCCUUUAUGUUACUCAGCACUAUGAUACUUCCCGUAUCUGUUAAUCUGAAUGUCAAAAAUACGCUGUUUAACAGAUUAAAUUAUUUUAUCAAUCCUGUAUUUGGAAGACAGAAACCUGCUGUGCAAAGCUCGAGAAGAAAAUAAAAUCUAAUGAUGAAGGACCAGACUCCUAUGGGACUUUUGCUGGAGAAAGGCCUACAACAAGUUUACCUGUUUGAUUAGAAUGCAGUAAAAUGCAAUUUCCUUUACAUCAUUACACUCUAAUGUCAACCUUAGAAUCACAAAUUCAUUGAAAGCUGAGCAAAACAGCUCAAUUAAUAUUACCAUAUUGGUAAUAAAAAAACCCACAAAAAUAAGCUUUUAAGGAAAUGUGUUAAUAAUUAAAAAUAAAUUUAGUGUUCUAAAUGAAGAGUACUGAUGGUGCUAAAAAGGGCAGUGACUUAAUUAUUCUUGUUGAUGUCAGUUAUUCAUUUGUGGGCCAUCAAACUAUAAACCAAGGUACUUUAUUGACUGCAAUAUUCGCUGGAUAUGUGCCAUAUUAUUCAAGCAAAACAAUGCACUGCAAAAACAAUACAGAGAAGAGGUAAUUUGUACAGAGUUCAUGAGACAAUUAUAUCAUCUAAAUACAAAACUGAGUCACUAUGCCCUUGGUUCUCUUUAUUAAAAGAGAAUUGAAGGAUAUACUAAACAUACUCAGACCCUAGUAAUUUCAAUUUGAAUCCUGCCCAUACACCCAAGCACCCAGAGACUGGUGUGAUCCAGCACAUGGAUCAUGAGUCCCAAAGAAGGAUGCAUUGGUGUGGGACUCAGGAUACUACUUCAUUUUCCUGUGUGCUGGAAGUUAAACUACUGCCCCAUUUUCCUGAGAAGAGCUUUGAAACUCACUCAAUAUCAUAGAACAACGUGAAAACACACACACAAAAAAGUACUUAUUUCAAAAGAGGACAGCAGUUUGAAAGCUGUCUAUAUUUUACAGGCUUCAGUGG